rnacentral:rRNA from 1 species
GACAGAGGGUGCAAACGUUGUUCGGAAUUACUGGCGUAAAGCGCGUGUAGGCUGCUUCGCAAGUCGGAUGUGAAAGCCCUGGGCUCAACCCAGGAAGUGCAUUCGAAACUGCAGAGCUGGAGUCCUGGAGAGGAAGGCGGAAUUCUCGGUGUAGAGGUGAAAUUCGUAGAUAUCGAGAGGAACACCGGUGGCGAAGGCGGCCUUCUGGACAGUGACUGACGCUGAGACGCGAAAGCGUGGGGAGCGAACAGG